rnacentral:SRP_RNA from 1 species
AGCCGUAUUCGCGAUGAAGAUUGGGUCCUGUGCGAUCCGUCUGCGUGAACCCUGUCAGGUCCUGCCGGAAGCAGCAGUAAGCGUUUGCCGGAUGUGCUGCAGGUUCGCCCGGUCUGAGUGGAUGCGGUU